AGAGAGAUGGCGUAUUUCAAAUUGAGACCAUUCGAUCCAGGGGCUGGUCAUCAAGAUGGAGCAGGGUAUGGAGAAGCCAUUAGGGAUGAUACAGAACAGCACCAAAGGAGCUCCUUCUGCGAUUCUCUAUUGGCUGAACUCCGCCAGAAGCUUCCAGGGGAGACCCCCACAACUGGAUGCAGCUCACUGAAGUCAGCUUCCUGGGGUGCGUAGCCGAAGGUAGCAGGGUGCAAAAAGAAUCUGGAGGGGCAAGUGAACAAUGUAGAGCAUAUCUGUGCUGAAGAUGUAAGGAGAGAGUGGGGGUCAGAAGCUGGCACAGUCCCUGGUGCAUGUGUCAGCCGCUAAAGAAGUGGAGAGUAUGAACAUAAGCAAGAGGAAGUGAUGAGCAUCCCUUCCAGGAGAACUUUAAGAGCCAGUGUGUGAUUUGCUGGGCUCCCAAGCCCUCUGCUCUGAUGACAGCAAAGCCCCAAAUCAUGAUGCCUCCAUCAGUCUGGACCCCUCAGCAGAGCCAGCUUCACAGCUGGAGUGGAUGAAUCAGAACUUUCUCCAUGGGAGCAUUUAUAAAGAGGGGACACCCAGCGCAGAAGACGUUUUCCAGGGAGAUCUCGGGGAGCCCAACAAGCCAAGAAGAGCAGAGCAAAGCAUUCCAAGGAAGGAAUCUAAGUCUGCAACAGAGCAUGCAUGAGAAGCAAGACUGACCUCCUUGGACCAGACUUUCUGGACAAUUUGCUGGCAGAGGAAGAGACCACAAGAGGAAAAAAGUGGACUUCCUGCACAAGGAAAGACCACGUGAACACACAGCAAGAACGUGGUGCUCUGCAAGUCAGAAACAGACCCUUCAUCAGAUACCAAAUCAGCCAGCACCUUGAUCUAAGAUUUCUGGUCUCCAAAACA